UUUAACUGGGCAUCCUGUGUGUAAUCUGGCAACUUUAACCCGGACAUCAGGCUUGUGAGGAGGGAACAUUGGUCCCAUAGGCUCUCCGUGUUCCUAUUUCACACUUAAUGAUACGCUGGAUUCCACCACAAGGCUGAAAUGCUGGCGGCCAGGACCAUACAUCCGAGGCCUGCGAGGGAUUCUUGAGGAUGCUCAGAACUCUGAAGCACCUUCCAAACUCUGAAAUUUCUCCUCCAAUUAUCCUGCCACCCAGUGUCCUUAUUUGGAUGGAGAAUUCCUCCCUUCAGAGUUUCUAGACUCUAUGUCACAAUUCUAGAACACAGUCUCCCCUUCCUAUGAGAGCUCCCAGCACUGCAGAGUGCUCAUGCUGGACCGGAGUGCUGGUGGGGGGUGGGGGGAGGUACCCCCAGAGAGCAGGGGUUCUGGAGUCAGCAACGGCUGGGUUCAAAUCCUCGGUGCACCACUCACUGGCCAUGUGACUCUCUGGACUCAGUUUCCACAUACGUAAAACUGAGGUAGAAGCUGCCAUCUUGCAGGGUGUUAGACAGGACGGGCAGCAAGACAUAAAUUCAAUAUAAAUUCCCAGGCACACAGUAGUUGCAAAUAGUCGCUGAGCAAACAGUGGUUUGCUGUUAUUACUAGUUUUACCGAUGCCAGCCAGAAAAUCUUUCAUUUUCAAAGUUUUAUAUCUUUAAAGUGAAUUAAUCUCUAACUACUUUGGCUCUGUAAGUUUCCAAUUUGUUUCCUUAAAGCAGAGAGUACCUACAUUGAAUUAAUGUAUCUCCACUAGAGUUUGCCUCUGAACGAUUACAUGGAUUUGUGACGGAGGUUAUAAUAAGCUCCUGGAGAACAAAUGUCAUUCCAAAUACCCUUCUGUAGAUUCAAAAACACCUUGCACCAUACUGAGCCUGAUAAAUACUUGCUGAAAUCAUGAAUGAAAAAUCUGCCACUUGGUAUCAUGUAGAGAAAUGGGUCACUAACCUAUCCUCCUAUUAACCACAACCUAAACUUCAACUCAACUUAUUCCUACUCAAAACACUACCUUCUGGGACACCUGGCUGGCUCAGUCAGUGCAGCAUGCAACUCCUGAUCUCAAGAGUUGUGAGAUCGAGCCCCAGGCUGGGCAUAGAGAUUACUUUCAAAAUAAAACCCUUAAAAACAAACAAACAAACGAAAAAACAAACUACCUUCCUUCCUUUCUCUCCACAUGCCUCAUGAGAAUUAUCUCCAGACUCCACUGAGUCCUAAAUCACCUCCCUUCUUUGGAUGUCUGAAGCAUUUAUUGAUUAUAUUACCAUGUGGGCACUUAAUACAACAAUGCCUUGGACUCUUAACUGUUUCACGCAGAUAGUUUAUACAUCUCCAAGUAUGUUGGAAGCUUCUGGAUGACAGGAACUGUGUUUAUGGAUUUUUUUUUUUUUUUUAAGUAUCUCCCUAUCCUGGCACAUAAGUGAAUAAGUGACCUCUAUAAAGUGUGUAUUUCAGGGCCUGGCACCAAAUACGAGCCUGAAAACAAGCUUAAAAAUAAGUAGAUACUCAAUAAACACUUGGCAAACUGACGAAGAACGAACUGUGUGAAACGCUCCCAAGACAUCAGUGUGCCAGGCCCUAAUUGGUAUUUACUGGCGGGUACAUUUUUGAGUCUUGACAAGCCUUUUGCAAAAACAACUCACACAGACUUGAAUUAUUCGGGGAGUGAAAACGGAACAUGGGAGUAUGUUAGCUACGAUUUCCUUCCUUCUUCCCGUCACUUCUAAUAAUGUAAAUGUUUGGUUUAACAUCACAUCUGUAAGCGGGUACCUAGCUGGCACCGGGGAUGAAAGUGCCUCCCUCGCUGGCCGGGGCUGACUGGGUGGCUCGGUUGGUUGAGCAUCUGAGUCUUGAUCUCGGCUCAGGUCAUGAUCUCACGGUUUGUAAGAUCGAGCCCCUCAGCGGGGCCGGAGCCGUGAACACGGGGCCUGCUGAGAAUUCUCUCUCUCUCUCUACCCCCCACCUUGCACCUCCCCCGCUUGCACAUGUGCAUGCUCUCUCUCGCUCUCUCAAAAUAAACUUUACAAAGAAAGUCAGAAAAGUGCAUGUGGACUCAUGGGCCAUCGUGGUGGAGGAACCACAGGGAGAGCAGCCGAAUUUGACAACGAGGAAGUAAGCUGACGCCCAGGGAGACAGUGACUUGCCCAAGGUCACACACCAACUGGCCCAAGGUAACCUUGAGGGACCUACCUCACUUCCUCCCACCCUCCAGCCCAGCUGACCUCCCCUCGGCCUCUGAAUGUCUCCCAUCCACGCGAGGGUGCUUUGUUAUUUCUUCCAUGGCAACCAUAACCUCACAAAGCAGAGCUGACCUCCUCCACCCCUUGCAAGAACAGAAGGGCUGAGAGAUUUCUGUAUUGUCGGGGUUUUUUUAAUCUCAAACAGAAGUUAAUUGUCGGGUUCAGACCAAAAAGAGCCAGUGACACCUCACCCCCAGCAGCCCUCUCAGCAAAACCCAACACAGCCAGGAGUGCCUGGCUGACCUCAGAUGGAUUUAGAAGCAGGGUUAUUUUUUCCCCUUUGUUAGUCAGUGACACCCCCCUCCCCCACCAAGAAAAGGAAAUCAAUCAAGGGUCACAGGGAUUUGCUCGUUUCGGUUUUCUUAGAUUUUAUGGUAGAGUGAGUGAAAAAUCUAAGCUGUCUCCCAUUGUUUCAUUACCAGAAAUUCAAAAACAUUCAAUAUAAAAAAGAAUUUUUAAAAAAUAGGUGGGGCACAGAGGAUUUUUAGGGCAGUGUAACUACUCUAUACAACAGCAUAAUGAUGGAUAGUGUCAUUAGACAUUUGCCCAAACCCACAGAAUGUACAACACCAGGAGUGAACCCUAAGGUCAACUGUGGACUCUGGGUAAUUAUGGGUCCGUGUAGGUUCAUGGAAGGGUAACAAAUGUGCCACUCUGGGGCAGGUGUCCCUAAGGGGGGGACGCUAUGCACAUAUGGAGAUAGGGCAUAUGUGGGAAAUCCCUGGACCUUCCAUGCAAUUUUGCUGGGAACCUAAAACUGCUCUAAAAAAUAAAAUCGAUUAAAAAAAAAAUACAGACUCUGUGACAAAGAAAGUCAGAUAUGAAAGGAGAACAGGAGGAAGCAAAAAAGCUGGAUAAGGGGGAGAUGGAAAGCAGUAUCUGACACAGAGGAAAUAAAAUCCAAUGCCCCUGAAGGGUAGAGAAGCAGCAAUUCUGAUCCCAGAGAGAGAGACUCGGGAAGGUAGCUCAUGAAAACACA